rnacentral:rRNA from 1 species
CCCCUAGAUGUUCUGGGCCGCACGCGCGCUACACUGAACAGUUCAACAAGUCUUAACCUUGGCCGAUAGGUCUGGGUAAUCUUUGAACGCUGUUCGUGAUUGGGAUAGACCUUUGCAAUUAUGGGUCUUCAACGAGGAAUUCCUAGUAAACGCAAGUCAUCAGCUUGCAUUGAUUACGUCCCUGCCCUUUGUACACACCGCCCGUCGCUCCUACCGAUUGAACGUUUUAGUGAGGUAUUUGGACUGGACCUUCGGAGGUUCGCGCCUCCGUUGCUGUUCGGGAAGACUCCCAAACUUGAGCGUUUAGAGGAAGUAAAAGUCGUAACA